rnacentral:misc_RNA from 1 species
AAGUCGUAACAAGGUUUCCGUAGGUGAACCUGCGGAAGGAUCAUUCCCCGUGAACCUUUAUUGUGCUCGUCUGCCCUGUUGGAAAGCGGCAAUCCCUGGUAAAUCAUCGCCGAACAGUUUUGAUUCAGGGACUUCUGUGGAGCGCGGAAAACGAGGCGAGGCAAGUGGUCUGGCAUCCCUCUGCUUGUUAGUGUCUGACAGUGUCACUAGCUCUGUAAGGGUGGCGCAGUAACGAUCGCUAGUGGCCGACACGGCCGGCGACCGGACCGCCGGGCUAUACGCUCCUUUAUCACCUUUGCAUGAAAACGGGCCUGCGCUUAAUUGUGCGGCCAUAAACCGAACAACUGUUAACAAUGGAUAUCUUGGUUCUC